GAUCCUGGCUCAGAAUGAACGCUGGCGGCAUGCCUAACACAUGCAAGUCGAACGAAGGCUUCGGCCUUAGUGGCGCACGGGUGCGUAACGCGUGGGAAUCUGCCCUCAGGUUCGGAAUAACAGCGAGAAAUUGCUGCUAAUACCGGAUGAUAUCGCGAGAUCAAAGAUUUAUCGCCUGAGGAUGAGCCCGCGUAGGAUUAGCUAGUUGGUGUGGUAAAGGCGCACCAAGGCG
rnacentral:rRNA from 1 species